rnacentral:lncRNA from 12 species
GAAAAAUGGUUUUAAAUAAUCUCUUCUUCUCUUAUUCUAGAGAUCACUCUAUUGACAUAAGAGAUUGGUGACAUAAAAACAAAUAUAAACUGAAAUGGACACAUGCAAUCAAUGUAAAAUGAAAUUUUCAUUCUGUCGUCACCCUGUGGAAAAUAAGAGAAUUAUAAAGAGGAUUUCCCUGCCAAUGUACCUGAUCCCUUUUUCUGAGCAAAGGGAAUCUCAGGAAUCCACAGUGGGACUGGAGGAAUCCCUUCUCAGGGACACUACUGGGAGAGUUUCAGAAGCUUUGAAUGACUCUCUGGAGCAAGGUGAGCCUUUCGCUGAAAAAAAAGGGCAAGUAAGGGGAACAAAAGAGCUUCAAUCUGCACAAGUGAACCAAACAGCAGAAUGCCAAGGGCUGACACCGUGAUCUCCCACCAUACAUGUCCCCAGAUGCGUUUAAGCAUCUUCCAGCAUGUAUUUUUGCGCAGAAGUGGG